rnacentral:rRNA from 1 species
UACGUAGGUGGCAAGCGUUGUCCGGAUUUACUGGGCGUAAAGGGCGUGCAGGCGGUUUGUUAAGUUCAGGGUGAAAGCUCCCGGCUCAACUGGGAGAGGUCCUUGGAUACUGGCAGACUUGAGGAGGGUAGAGGAGAGUGGAAUUCCCGGUGUAGUGGUGAUAUGCGUAGAGAUGUGGAGGAACACCAGUGGCGAAGGCGACUCUUUGGUCUGUAACUGACGCUGAGGCGCGAAAGCGUGGGGAGCAAACAGG